ACGGAAGGCAGCAGUGGGGGAUAUUGCACAAUGGGCGAAAGCCUGAUGCAGCAACGCCGCGUGAGGGAAGACGGUUUUCGGAUUGUAAACCUCUGUCUUUGGUGACGAAGAAAUGACGGUAGCCAAGGAGGAAGCCACGGCUAACUACGUGCCAGCAGCCGCGGUAAUACGUAGGUGGCAAGCGUUGUCCGGAAUUACUGGGUGUAAAGGGAGCGCAGGCGGGAAGGCAAGUCAGCGGUGAAAUACAUGGGCUUAACCCAUGAACUGCCGUUGAAACUGUUUUUCUUGAGUGGAGUAGAGGCAGACGGAAUUCCGAGUGUAGCGGUGAAAUGCGUAGAUAUUCGGAGGAACACCAGUGGCGAAGGCGGUCUGCUGGGCUCUAACUGACGCUGAGGCUCGAAAGUGUGGGGAGCAAACAGGAUUAGAUACCCUGGUA
rnacentral:rRNA from 1 species